CUGUGGCCGGAGGAGGGGUGAUAUUGGUCGGUGGUGGUUGCGCGCGCGCAAAGCGCGCACGCGGGUCUCCAUGGUGAAGGCGGGGGAGGGGGUGGCCCCAGCAAGUGGCAGCGACUGAUGUCGCUGGUGGCGGCGGCGGCCGGGAGUCGGAUCCUCCUUGUCAGCGCGCGGUGCCAUGUCCCGGGGCUGCUGCACCCACCUCCUGUGGGAUGUGAGGAAGCGGAGCUUGGGGCUGGAGGAGCCCGGCCUGCUGAGGAGACGAUACCUAGGAAGAAGAGAAUUUAUCCAAAGAUUAAAACUUGAAGCAACACUGAAUGUGCAUGAUGGCUGUGUAAACACAAUUUGCUGGAAUGAUACAGGAGAAUAUAUUUUAUCUGGAUCGGAUGAUACUAAUCUUGUAAUUACUAAUCCAUAUAGUAGAAAGGUUUUAACAACCAUUCGCUCAGGACACAGGGCAAAUAUUUUUAGUGCAAAAUUCUUACCAUGCACCAGUGAUAAGCAGAUUGUGUCCUGUUCUGGAGAUGGGGUCAUUUUUUAUACUAACGUAGAGCAAGAUGCUGAAACCAACAGACAGUGCCAAUUUACAUGCCAUUAUGGAACUACUUAUGAGAUCAUGACUGUUCCAAAUGAUCCUUAUACUUUCCUGUCUUGUGGAGAAGAUGGCACUGUAAGAUGGUUUGAUACUAGAAUCAAGACGAGUUGCACAAAGGAAGAUUGUAAAGAUGAUAUUUUAAUAAACUGUAGGAGAGCUGCCACUUCUGUAGCUAUCUGCCCUCCAAUACCAUAUUAUCUUGCUGUUGGUUGCUCUGAUAGCUCAGUAAGGAUAUAUGAUCGGCGAAUGCUUGGCACAAGAGCAACAGGUAAUUAUGCAGGCCGGGGUACUACUGGACUGGUGGCACGCUUUGUUCCUCCCCACCUCAACAACAAAUCCUGCAGGGUAACUUCUCUGUGCUACAGUGAAGAUGGCCAAGAAAUUCUUGUGAGCUAUUCUUCAGACUACAUAUACUUGUUUGAUCCCAAGGAUGAUACAGCUAGAGAACUUAAAGUUCCUUCUGCAGAAGAGAGAAGAGAAGAGUUACGGCAGCCUCCUGUCAAACGCUUGCGGCUAAGAGGAGAUUGGUCAGACACUGGACCAAGAGCAAGGCCUGAAAGUGAACGAGAGAGAGAUGGGGAACAGAGCCCUAAUGUCUCAUUAAUGCAAAGGAUGUCUGACAUGUUGUCAAGAUGGUUUGAAGAAGCAAGUGAAGUUGCACAGAGCAACAGAGGAAGAGGACGGUCUCGGUCCAGAGGUGGCAUGAGCAGAUCAGAUGUGUCUGCUGCUGGGAGUGUCUUGGCAAGUGCUGAAACAGAUGCUGCAAUGGAUGUGGAUGGUCCUGAACAACUUCAGUCAUCAUCAUCUACAAUGUCAGCUCAAGCCCCCUCAACAUCUUCCUCAACAGAAAGCCCCCCUUCUACUUCCUUACUGUCCUCUCCUGAUAAUGAACAGAGACCCUCCUUGGAGGCCUCAGCACCUCCAACACUCCAUCAGUCUGAAUUAAUGGCGCCUGAGUUAGCUAUACUCCGUAGGGGCCUGCAGCGGCUGAGGCUUAAGAAGGCUGAACAGCAGAGACAGCGAGAGCUAGCUGAGGGUUCAGCACAACAGUCCUCCAGCUCUGAUCAGUCUUCCCCUAAGGGCUCCUCACAGGACCCUCAGCCUACAGAUGAUGAAAAGGUGAGCUCACGAUCAGGAACAGGUGAACCUGUUUUAAGUUUACACUACAGUACAGAAGGAACAACCACAAGCACAAUAAAAUUGGAUUUCACUGAUGAAUGGAGUAGCACAGCUUCAAGUUCCAGAGGCAGUGGAAGUCAUAGCAAACCUGAAGGUCAGGAAGAAUCUCUGAGAACCCAAAGUUCAGAGGCGCCAACACCAGAGAGUGAAGAAUCAAUUUCAGGAAUCCCUGAAGAAUUGCAUGAGGAAGUUACAAAUGUUGAAGAGUUAACAUCUGCAAAUGUGAACAUUGGAACUCCAUGUUCAGAUGAUGCCUCUGACCAGCCUGAAAUUAGUAUGGAACCAGGAAAUGAUCCUCAUCUUGACAUAACCUGCCAGAUCCCAGGAGAAGAUUUAUCAAGCAAAGACAUGGAAGAGCAAGAAAGCUUGAGUCAACAAAGUACAGAAUCUACUGCCAACCCAAACAACACAAUUCACGAACCUCAAUCCCAACCAGACUCCUCAGGGCUUAUCUCUCAUGAAGAAUCAUCCACACGGAGUUCUGCUUUCCAGGAAACUGAUGAUAGUGAUGAUGAUCCUGUUCUGAUACCUGGUGCACGGUAUCGUGGAGGAGUCAGUCAUAGAUAUAUCAGAGGAACAGCAGUAGGUGAUAGAAUAAUGAGACGAUCUGCUGUAGCACGCAUCCAGGAACUCUUCAGAAGAAGGAAAGAGAGGAAAGAGAUGGAGGAAUUGGAAACCUUGAAUAUUAGGCGUCCUUUAAUAAAAAUGGUUUACAAAGGUCAUCGGAACUCCCGGACAAUGAUAAAAGAAGCCAAUUUCUGGGGUUCUAACUUCGUUAUGAGUGGUUCAGAUUGUGGCCAUAUCUUCAUAUGGGAUCGGCAUACUGCUGAGCACUUGAUGCUGCUGGAAGCAGAUAACCAUGUGGUGAACUGUCUACAGCCACAUCCAUUUGACCCAAUUCUAGCUUCAUCAGGUAUUGAUUAUGAUAUAAAAAUCUGGUCACCACUAGAAGAGUCAAAGAUAUUUAACCGAAAGCUUGCUGAUGAGGUUAUAACUCGAAAUGAAUUAAUGCUGGAAGAGACCAGAAACACCAUCACUGUUCCAGCUUCUUUCAUGUUGAGGAUGUUGGCCUCACUGAACCAUAUAAGAGCAGGAGUAAAUGAAUAGAUAAAGACUUACCAGUGCUCUCUAGAAGACUUCAUGGGAUGAUCAUCAUAUGGAGGCAGUCAUCCAGGAACAAAAGGAAGGGCGCUCCAACCUCUGAAUAAACUGCUGCACCAAGCACAAGGGGUGGUGUGUGAUAUUCCACCCAUGAAAUCCUGUGCAGGCGCAGAACCCAGGCUUAUGAAAGUCUAUGGAUCACUUACACAUCAAAAGUUACAGACCGACUGGAAGGAGACCGGUCUGAAGGCUCUGGCCAGGAGAAUGAAAAUGAAGAUGAAGAGUAAAUAACUCUUAUCUGAGAGCACCUAGACGUCAUGAAAUUUGUAUAAGUCAUGAAUUAUAUUUUUCCUUACAAAGCUUUAGUGCAAUUUUAAGGUUUUGCUUUUGGGUAACCUAACAUUUUGAUUUUGAAUGAAUGUGUGCAUGAAAUGAGAGAGUGAGCAAUUAAAAUAAGCAAAAUAUUUUUGAAAUGUUUUGCCAUGUAUGAGGGGUGCUAGAAAAUGCAAAGUGCAAUAUUUUCCCUUAACUUGCAAACUUGGGAGCUUGGAUCAGUGUUUAAAAUAACUUACCUUAUAGUAAAAACAUUGGUUCAAAUAAAUUUCUAUACCUGCUAUCUGCAUGUUUGUUGCUUUCUAUUAAAAGAUGUGGUUGUUUAA